UAUCUUUGACCUAAUCGUGGGUGGAAGUAUUUAAAACACUUUCUUAAAGACAGGCCCAAGCACCUACUGUCUAUGGCACCAUAGAGAGUUCUUUCAUGCUGAGGACUGCAAAGGUGACAAUAGUUUCCUCUAACGUGUUUCAGUGGAUUUGAAAGCACUGGGAACAAAUUAAAAAAAAAAUGUGUGUGUAUUAUGUUCCUGUGAAAUAAGAGACAGCUGAAUUCAGGAGAAAGUAGGGGCAUUGGAAAAAUGACUCUCUAGCUGUGUGCCCCAAAUGCACCUCAGCGUAUAGAAGACAACUGGUGUCCUAAGGUAGGAAUACUGACUUCUCUCUUCCUCUGUAAGCUCAGAAGUUCCAUCUUAGGGCAGACAUAAAAGGUACCUCUAUAGGCUCUUCCUUGCUAUUUUCCAGUAAAUAAAUGAAGCAAAUCAAAUUUUAAUGAAAAGCAACUUGGCCUGUGGAAACAACAAACCAGCUAUAUAUUUAACAAUGAAUUGAAAUUUUAUAAAAUUGGCUGCAAUGAUAAUUCAUAAAAUAUAAUGACUAAUGUGAAAACAAAGGAUGCAACACUGACUGUCUACUAUGGACUAUGCACUGUUCUAAGAGUUUAUUCAUAUGGACUACGCACUGUUCUAAGACUUUAUUCACAUAUCUCAUUUUGUCCUGACAAUAAUCCUGGGGAAUAAGUAUUGUUUCCGUUUAUCUGUUGAGGGAACUAAGGCUCAAGAACAUAAGCUGACUUCCCCAAGGUCAGAAUGUUGGAAAGUAAUAGAUCAGGUUGUAAAAUGCAUGUCUGCUUGAUUUUAAGUUUUGAAUCCUACUACACACACAUUGAGAACUCAAAAAGUAGGGAAAGAAUGAUUUGGAAGGGUGGAGGGCCUAGUGUCAUAGCUGAAGGAGAGCUGCAUCUACUGCAGAGCAGGCGCUUUUGGAAAUGAUACCUUUAAGGUCAAAUAAAACUGGAAAAUUGUCCUGUAGUCUGUGCCAAGGAAUAUUUCAAAUAUAUAAACACAGGACAUGAAACCACCUAGGAUGUAGGGUCCAUUAAUUCUUAAUCUGUACCUAGCAUCUAGGAGUGAUUAAUGCUUAUGUGUGGAACGAACAAAUGUCCAUGUCAGUUAUAAAUUUUAUAACCUUAUAACCAAAAGAAGAAAAAAAAAGACUGAACUCGGCUGAAAUUAGUUAUCUAUAAACUUGUAGACUUGGAGAAGUAUUAAACUUUUAUUUUCAUGUAACCCCAAAAAUAAUUCAGUUUAAGAAUUGUUAUUCAUUAGUAUCUAAGAGUAUUCAAAUUCAAGAUGAGGGAAAAGGAUGUGUGUGUGUGUGUGUGUGUGUGUGUGUGUGUUUCUGUGUGUGAUCAUGUCACCACUAACAGGAGAUAGUUGAAUUUUAGGAGAUAACUUUGUGACUCAAUGCACUGGUAUAAGAUGUAUUUUUGAUAUUUCUUAGAAAACUUUUCUUGGGAAUAUACAAUACUCUUAAGGCAAUAGUUCAUCAUCUAUAAUUACAAAUUUAAUUUACAUAAUUCUCCUUGGAAGUAUGUCCCAAGUGUUAAACUUUCUGUUAAUCGAUUCCAAACUCUUUCAUGAACCCUAUCCUUGCUCUACCAUCUAUAUUACUUUAUCGAUGAAGUUUUGGGUUUUUUUCCUAAACUUUCCCCCUUCAUUUCUGACAAAAUUAACCUCACCGUCUUUGAUGGUUAAUUCUAAGUGUCAACUUGACUGGGUUAGAGGAUGCUCGGAUAGCAGGUAGAGCAUGAUUUCUGGGUGUUUCAGUGAGGGUAUUUCUGGGAGACUGGUACUGGAAUCAGUGCACUGAGUAGGGAAGACCUGCCCUUAUCCAAUGCAGUAGGGCACCAUGCAACUGGCUGAGGACCCAGACAGAACAGAAAGGCAAAGGGAAGGCAAAGUGUCUCUCUGUUCUAAAGCUGGGACACCUACCCUGUCCUUGAACAUCAGAUCUCCAGGAUCUCUGGCCUUUGGAGUUUAACUUGCACCAGCUGCACCCCAGCUUCUCAAGCCUUUGGCCUCUGACUCAGGGUUACACCAUCAGCUUCCCUGGUUGUGAGGCUUUCAGACUUGGACUGAGCUAUGCUACUGGCUUUCCUGGUUCUCCAGCUUGCAGAUGGCCUAUUGGGGGACUUUUUAGCUUCCAUAAUCAUAUGAACCAAUUUCCCUCCUAAGUCCUCGCUCGUGUAUCUAUUCAUCUAUAUAUGUAUCCUGUUGGUUCUGUUUCUCUGGAGAACCCUAAUGCACCCUAAUCCAUAUUUUAUAUAUAAAAUGUAAAAACACUUCGUAGUAAUUGUCUUCCCUGUAGGCAACCUUAGGACCUUAGGGAAGAACGAUGUCAGAGAGAAGCCAGCACACUUAGCGAGCACGGGGACCAGUCUGCAUGCAUUCAAACCCUGGCUCUAUCACAUACUUGCUAUGUGCCCUUGGGGAAAUUAUUUAAAUUCUAUACAUCCAUUUUUUUUCUUAUAAAACGUGGAGAUAAUAAUAACCACACUCAUGGUAUUGUUGGGAGAACAUACAAAAAGAGAUUUCGUAUGUAAAGUGUCUAGAACAAUUCCUGUCACACAAUAAAGCCUUAUAUCAAAUAAGAGUUGUUCUUAUCAUAGUCAUCUUUAUAUCCACCAUCUGGUAUAAAAAAGAUAGGCAAUACUUGGUGGUUGAAUUCUGGAACGAAUAAAGGUUCAACCACUUAUUCAAUUUGUCCCUAACCAACUAAUUUCAUUUUAAUAGCAAAUUUUGUUCAUGCCCCUUUCAUGUUAAAUGUCUUUCUAUCCAAAAUGUACAGAGCUAAUCUGUUUUAAAAGAUUUAUUUUUCUAAGCAAAAGAUGUAACUGAUACUACUGUCCUAUUAGCUUUUCUAAGGCAUAUUAAAUGGUUUCUUUAAAAUCACAGUAUAAAUGAGUAAAUUAAUUGACUUGGAUUUAAAAGAUGUUUUCUGUUGAUAGUACUUCCCAGUAUGUUAGCUCAAUAAAUGAAAGAGAGAUGCUGCCAAUCAGAGACGUUCCCCUUUAAUUAAAUAAAAGGAAUGUAUUCAAGUAUUUCUAAAGAUGAAAUAAAGGAAAAUAAAAACAUAAUAAGCAUUAACAUGGCCUAUGUGCCCUGCUUCUUAGAUAGGCUCUUAAUCAAACAAGACCACAAUAAAAUAUGCCAUUACAUUAUCAUGUUCAGUAUUAGAAACAAGAAUUUUCAUGUACAAAACAUGCUUCUAUUACGGACACAAUAAUUUGUUCAACAGCAGAAAUACUCUGAAUUCCCCAAGAUCAACACAAUUAAAAUGACAAUAACGGUCAACAAUUAAAAAGCACUUCAUGCUGCACAAAGAUUUUUCAUAUUUAUGAUCUUGAUCAUUACUAAUGUAUGUUCUCUAGAAAGUAGAACAUUCAGGAAAAGGUAGGGAACCCGCAGAUGUGAUUGUUUGGGACAACGCAUAAUACAAGGUGUUUUUCCUAAUUUUCAUAUGAUGCUUGGGAAAAAAAUGCUCAAAACAGCAAAGCAAAAUUGCUCAAGAACAACCGCAAGCAUCUCGGUGCCACAGUGAUGACCAGAAUUUGGGUCUUGGUCAUUGGCAGUAGUUCGUGGCAUCAACCUUUUCAAGUGGGUAAGGUUCUAGGGAUCCCACUAUAAAGAAACGCGAUGCUAUCUUAUUGAAACCAGCAUACAUUUGGAGCUAUUUUCUUUUAUUUUUUUAUUUACAUGGAUGCUUUCUUCAACAAGGCAAAAAAUAUCAUUGUAAAGAAGACAUGUGAACUGGUCUUUCUGAAUUGGAACAAAGUUUUGAAAUAAACCCAGCCACCAGUCUUCAUCAGACUGGAAGGCCAGGGAGAAGAGGGAAGAAGGAAUCAUUAUGAAGCUGUGGACUCAAAUCUCUUAUUCCUUUUGAGUUGGAAAAACUUCAAAAAUAAUAUAAUUUUUAUGAGCUUUAGUAAGGAGAAAAAUAUACUGCAGUUAAAAAAUGGGGCAGGGCGCGGUGGCUCACACCUAUAAUCCCAGCACUUUGGGAGGCCGAGGCGGGCGGAUCACGAGUGUCUUCAUAAGAAGAGUCUAGGACACAGGCAUGUACACAGAGACAGCAGAAACCAUGUGAGGACACAGGGAGAAGGCGGCCAUCUGCAAACCAAGGAAAACAGGCUUCAGGAGAAACACACCUUGAUCUUGGACUUCCAGCCUCCAAAACUUGAACACGGUACAACUUUCACGAGGACUGAGUUAACACCGAGAAUGCAUGUGACAUGGACAACCUGGUGCCUCACUUUUUGUCACAAACAGAACUUUCCUGAGAAGGCACUGCCACUGAUUUUGUUGACCAUCUGCACCACACCUAUCACGCUGCCUCGGCUGACGAUGGGCAUGCACAGGAUGUUCCG
rnacentral:lncRNA from 1 species